rnacentral:rRNA from 1 species
AUUGAACGCUGGCGGCAUGCCUUACACAUGCAAGUCGAACGGUAACAGGUCUUCGGAUGCUGACGAGUGGCGAACGGGUGAGUAAUACAUCGGAACGUGCCUAGUAGUGGGGGAUAACCACUCGAAAGAGUGGCUAAUACCGCAUGAGAUCUACGGAUGAAAGCAGGGGAUCGCAAGACCUUGUGCUACUAGAGCGGCCGAUGGCAGAUUAGGUAGUUGGUGGGAUAAAAGCUUACCAAGCCGACGAUCUGUAGCUAGUCUGAGAGGACGAUCAGCCACACUGGGACUGAGACACGGCCCAGACUCCUACGGGAGGCAGCAGUGGGGAAUUUUGGACAAUGGGCGAAAGCCUGAUCCAGCAAUGCCGCGUGCAGGAUGAAGGCCUUCGGGUUGUAAACUGCUUUUGUACGGAACGAAAAGCCCCGGGUUAAUACCCUGGGGUCAUGACGGUACCGUAAGAAUAAGCACCGGCUAACUACGUGCCAGCAGCCGCAGUAA